rnacentral:tRNA from 1 species
UCCCUGGUAGCUUGGUGGUAAAGAAUUUGCCUGCAGAUGCAAGAGACAUGGGUUCGAUCCCUGUUCCAGGAA